GAUGAACGCUGGCGGCGUGCCUAAUACAUGCAAGUCGAGCGAACAGACGAGGAGCUUGCUCCUCUGACGUUAGCGGCGGACGGGUGAGUAACACGUGGAUAACCUACCUAUAAGACUGGGCUAACUUCGAGAAACCGGAGCUAAUACCGGGUAAUAUAUUGAACCGCAUGGUUCAAUAGUGAAAGACGGUUUUGCUGUCACUUAUAGAUGGAUCCGCGCCGCAUUAGCUAGUUGGUAAGGUAACGGCUUACCAAGGCAACGAUGCGUAGCCGACCUGAGAGGGUGAUCGGCCACACUGGAACUGAGACACGGUCCAGACUCCUACGGGAGGCAGCAGUAGGGAAUCUUCCGCAAUGGGCGAAAGCCUGACGGAGCAACGCCGCGUGAGUGAUGAAGGUCUUCGGAUCGUAAAACUCUGUUAUUAGGGAAGAACAAAUGUGUAAGUAACUAUGCACGUCGUGACGGUACCUAAUCAGAAAGCCACGGCUAACUACGUG
rnacentral:rRNA from 1 species